rnacentral:sRNA from 1 species
CCUGCGCGGGGCCGCCUCGCUUGCUCCCAGCUCCGUCAGUGGCCCCCGGGGCCCGAUCGCUGCGCCCGCGGCCAGGGCCGAGGCAGGCGCUGACCCGGGGCCGGGCAGCCUGCGCGACUUUCGGAACAUGGCAACCCGUGUGUGUCUCAUCCCAGAAAGAGAAGACUUUAACCACUGUGAUGCCUGAGAAUCCAGUGUGACGUUUCUCCAGAUACUUCAUGCUGUUCACCUGUGUCCUCGCCACACCACUGCCGCACACGACUCCUGAACCAUGGGGGAAAAUGAGGAUGAGAAGCAGGCCCAGGCAGGGCAGGUUUUUGAGAACUUUGUCCAGGCAUCCACAUGCAAAGGUACCCUUCAGGCCUUCAACAUCCUCACACGACACCUGGACCUAGACCCUCUGGACCACAGAAACUUUUAUUCCAAGCUCAAGUCCAAGGUGACCACCUGGAAAGCCAAAGCCCUGUGGUACAAAUUGGAUAAGCGUGGUUCCCACAAAGAGUAUAAGCGAGGCAAGUCGUGCACGAACACCAAGUGUCUCAUAGUUGGGGGAGGACCCUGUGGCUUGCGCACUGCCAUUGAACUUGCCUACCUGGGAGCCAAAGUGGUCGUGGUGGAGAAGAGGGACACAUUCUCCCGGAACAACGUGCUACACCUCUGGCCUUUCACCAUCCAUGACCUUCGGGGCCUGGGAGCCAAGAAGUUCUAUGGGAAGUUCUGUGCUGGCUCCAUCGACCAUAUCAGUAUUCGCCAACUACAGCUCAUCCUAUUCAAGGUGGCCCUGAUGCUGGGAGUUGAAAUCCAUGUGAAUGUGGAGUUCGUGAAGGUUCUAGAGCCUCCUGAAGAUCAAGAAAACCAAAGUACAGUAUAAUUUUCCUUUUCUGCCUAGAAAGCAGAUACUACAAAAUAGAAAUCCCACUUGCUGCUUCCAGAGGGUGUUUCUGUAAGAGUUAUUCUUAUUGGGAGCUGGUUGGCCUAACACCACUGAAGGGUAUUUUACUGUUUUUUUGACCAUUGCUAUGACUUUAGGUUUGCUCUUUGGCUCCAAGGGGAUUUAUGAUUAAGCAUUAAACCUAUAAUUUGGUUA